UACGGAGGGAGCUAGCGUUGUCCGGAAUCAUUGGGCGUAAAGCGCGCGUAGGCGGCCCGGUAAGUCCGCUGUAAAAGUCAAAGGCUCAACCUUUGAAUGUCAGUGGAUACUGCCGGGCUAGAGUCCGGAAGAGGCGAGUGGAACUCCUGGUGUAGCGGUGGAAUGCGCAGAUAUCAGGAAGAACACCGACGGCGAAGGCAGCUCGCUGGGACGGUACUGACGCUGAGGCGCGAAAGCGUGGGGAGCGAACAGG
rnacentral:rRNA from 1 species